GACGUAGGGGGCCAGCGUUGUUCGGAAUUACUGGGUGUAAAGGGUUCGUAGGCGGUGUGGCAAGUCGGGAGUGAAAUCUCUGGGCUCAACUCAGAGACUGCUUCCGAAACUGCUGUGCUGGAGUGUGGGAGAGGCGCGUGGAAUUGCAGGUGUAGCGGUGAAAUGCGUAGAGAUCAGGAAGAACACCGGUGGCGAAGGCGCUCUGCUAGGCCGCAACUGACACUGAGGGACGAAAGCUAGGGGAGCGAAUGGG
rnacentral:rRNA from 1 species